GGUGCAAAAAAUAAAGCGUCAUCAAGUGGUGCGGUUUUUGAGAUUUUCGGACGAAAAAUUUCAAAAACCGUGUUUUAUUUUUCCACAAACCCUCAAAAUACCAAAAUCCCUAAGACCCGCUCGCACUCACCUCCCUCACCACUCUCACUCUCGAUCUCUCUCCCUCAAAAACACCCCCUCUCACUCGAUACCAGGUUCAUCGAGAAGCCCCUCCUCUCAUGGUCCGCUUCCGAUGUCGAAGAGUUUAUUGCUUGAAGCCUUGUUCACGGACCCACUUGAUCUUUAUUGGGCAUUUUGUGGGAGAUUUUCGGAAUGGGCAUUGCAGUAAUGGAAGAAGAUGAAGGAGGGACAGGCAAUGAGACGGAGAGCGUGAGAUGGAGUAAUCGUGACAGAGAGAGAUGGAGGCAGCACCCAACUCCGGCGUUUUGAGCCCAGAAACCAUCCUUGUAGACUUUUAUCAAAAACCAGAUUAUCAAACACCAUGGUCAGGGUGGAGGAGAACACAGACCUGCUCUGGACUUCCAACACUUUUAUCAAACUGGAAAUUCUGUAGAGAACAGAUCCAUUCCAGUGCGGAACGGAAAUUCUUACAUUUGUCCCUCUUCAAUUUGGGUCACUUUAGGGUUUGUCUUGUUGCAAUGGAUAAUAGUUUUUUCUCGAUGAUUGUGUAUGUGAUGCUGUUACCACCUCAGCCUUUGCUGGAAUAGGAUCAUCUUCAAUUUAUUUUA